CAGCAGUUGGUUUCAGGUGAAAGUGUCGGUCAUCCAGGCAGCAGAAGUUUGAUCUUAUCUCUGUUCAACACAACACAAGUUCAACAUUUCAACACACUGAUCACAGUUUGUCUUCAUCACCUUAAGGGGGCUAUAUACACUAUUCUGCUUUAAAUGUGAGGUCUCCCGAGCGCUCAGACUACAGCAACAACACGGCAGCUAACGACAUGCAGUCCGCACCAUAAAACAACCGGCUCACAGUAAAACACGGGCUCCACCUGAGGACUGCCUGUCCUGCCCCGCCCUCCCCCUAUAAAUUACUGCAAACAGCAUCACCGCCUCCACUUGUACAGCUGAAGACAGCAGAAAGCUUCCUCCACCUGAGCAGCUUGUUGGAGACGAGCAGCUUGUUGGAAACAGCAGUGAAGAUGAAUCUCCUGCCCUGGAUGAUGCUGGUGUUCCUGCUCUCAGCUGGGACCAAUUUGGCUGAUGUGGACGUGAACUGGCUGGCUGGGAUUGUAGAGGCCAUCACAACGCACGUCAGGAGUCAUUUUACAAAAUUCCUUCAUGAGAAUUACGACAACAGUAAAGAGCCUUGAACUUUACUCCAGCCUCUGACUUUCUCUUGAAGCCUGUUAGCCAUCUGUCAGUGUGUACAGUCCCUCACACUGAGGACAGAAUAAAAACAUAAAGAGUA